GAUGAACGCUGGCGGCGUGCCUAAUACAUGCAAGUCGAGCGAAUGGAUUAAGAGCUUGCUCUUAUGAAGUUAGCGGCGGACGGGUGAGAACACGUGGGUAACCUGCCCAUAAGACUGGGAUAACUCCGGGAAACCGGGGCUAAUACCGGAUAACAUUUUGAACCGCAUGGUUCGAAAGUGAAAGGCGGCUUCGGCUGUCACUUAUGGAUGAACCCGCGUCGCAUUAGCUAGUUGGUGAGGUAACGGCUCACCAAGGCAACGAUGCGUAGCCGACCUGAGAGGGUGAUCGGCCACACUGGGACUGAGACACGGCCCAGACUCCUACGGGAGGCAGCAGUAGGGAAUCUUCCGCAAUGGACGAAAGUCUGACGGAGCAACGCCGCGUGAGUGAUGAAGGCUUUCGGGUCGUAAAACUCUGUUGUUAGGGAAGAACAAGUGCUAGUUGAAUAAGCUGGCACCUUGACGGUACCUAACCAGAAAGCCACGGCUAACUACGUGCCAGCAGCCGCCGUAA
rnacentral:rRNA from 1 species